CUACGGGUUGCAGCAGUGAGGAAUAUUGCACAAUGGGGGGAACCCUGAUGCAGCAACGCCGCGUGGAGGAUGACGCAUUUCGGUGUGUAAACUCCUUUUAUAUGUCAAGAAAAUGACGGUAGCAUAUGAAUAAGCACCGGCUAACUCCGUGCCAGCAGCCGCGGUAAUACGGAGGGUGCAAGCGUUACUCGGAAUCACUGGGCGUAAAGGACGCGUAGGCGGGUUGGAAAGUCAGGUGUGAAAUCCUACAGCUUAACUGUAGAACUGCACUUGAAACUUCUAAUCUAGAGUAUGGGAGGGGGAGAUGGAAUUAGUGGUGUAGGGGUAACAUCCGUAGAUAUCACUAGGAAUACCUAAAGCGAAGGCGAUCUCCUGGAACAUUACUGACGCUAAGGCGUGAAAGCGUGGGGAGCAAACAGGAUUAGAUACCCUCGUAGUC
rnacentral:rRNA from 1 species